rnacentral:rRNA from 1 species
CCUACGUGCGUCAGCAGUGAGGAAUAUUGGUCAAUGGGCUUACGCCUGAACCAGCCAAGUCGCGUGAGGGAAGACUGCCCUAUGGGUUGUAAACCUCUUUUGUCAGGGAGCAACGCCGGCUACGUGUAGCCGGACUGAGAGUACCUGAAGAAAAAGCAUCGGCUAACUCCGUGCCAGCAGACGCGGUAAUACGGAGGAUGCGAGCGUUAUCCGGAGUUAUUGGGUUUAAAGGGUGCGUAGGCGGAAUGCCAAGUCAGCGGUAAAAUCGCGGGGCUCAACCUCGCUCCGCCGUUGAAACUGGCGUUCUUGAGUGGGCGAGAAGUAUGCGGAAUGCGUGGUGUAGCGGUGAAAUGCAUAGAUAUCACGCAGAACUCCGAUUGCGAAGGCAGCAUACCGGCGCCCAACUGACGCUGAAGCACGAAAGCGUGGGUAUCGAACAGGAUUAGAUACCCCGGUAGUC